rnacentral:rRNA from 1 species
AGCAUAUCAAUAAGCGGAGGAAAAGAAACUAACAAGGAUUCCCCUAGUAACUGCGAGUGAAGCGGGAAAAGCUCAAAUUUAAAAUCUGGCAGUCUUUGGCUGUCCGAGUUGUAAUCUGGAGAAGCGUCUUCCGCGCUGGACCGUGUACAAGUCUCCUGGAACGGAGCGUCGUAGAGGGUGAGAAUCCCGUCUUUGACACGGACUACCAGUGCUUUGUGAUGCGCUCUCAAAGAGUCGAGUUGUUUGGGAAUGCAGCUCAAAAUGGGUGGUAAACUCCAUCUAAAGCUAAAUAUUGGCGAGAGACCGAUAGCGAACAAGUACCGUGAGGGAAAGAUGAAAAGCACUUUGGAAAGAGAGUUAAACAGUACGUGAAAUUGCUGAAAGGGAAACGCUUGAAGUCAGUCGCGUUUGCUAGGACUCAGCCUUGCCUCGGCUUGGUGCACUUCCUAGUAAACGGGCCAGCAUCAUUUUUGGCUGCGGGAAAAAGGUCAGAGGAAUGUGGCACCUUCGGGUGUGUUAUAGCCUCUGGCUGCAUACCGUGGCUGGGAGUGAGGAACUCAGCACGCCUUACGGCGGGGCUUCGGCCACCUUCGUGCUUAGGAUGCUGGCGUAAUGGCUUUAAACGACCCGUCUUGAAACACGGACCAAGGAGUCUAACAUGCCUGCGAGUGUUUGGGUGGAAAACCCGAGCGCGUAAUGAAAGUGAAAGUUGGGACCUCUGUCGUGGAGGGCACCGACGCCCGGACCAGACCUUCGGUGACGGAUCUGCGGUAGAGCAUGUAUGUUGGGACCCGAAAGAUGGUGAACUAUGCCUGAAUAGGGUGAAGCCAGAGGAAACUCUGGUGGAGGCUCGUAGCGAUUCUGACGUGCAAAUCGAUCGUCAAAUUUGGGUAUAGGGGCGAAAGACUAAUCGAA